CAGCUACAUGGCCCACCCAUGAGUUAUCUCACAGGAAGUGGAGUGUAUGUGUGUAGAGGAUGCAAUGUGUGUGUGUUCUUAUAGAGUGUAGUGUAUAGGGAUACCAAUUUCUGUAAGGGAUGUAGUGUGUUUAUAGGGGAUGCAGUGUGUGUUUGCUUGUAAGGAAUGCAUUGUAUGUUUCUGGGUGUGUGUGUGUAAGGGGUGCAAGGUGUGUUUCUGUGUUUUUAAUUGAAUGCAGUGUGUGUCUGUAAGGGGUGCAUUGAUUGUGUAAGAGAUGCAUUUUGUUUCUGUGUGUAAGAGAAUGAGUGUUUGUGUGAGCGUAAGGGAUGCAUUGUGUGUUUAGGGUGUGAGUAGGAAUGCAUUGUAUGUUUCUGUGUGUGUGUGGG